AUACUUACCUGGCCAGGGCGAGGACACCAUGAUCAUGCGAAGGCGGUCACCCAGGGCGAGGCUAGUCACAUUGCACGACUCCCGGCCGGGCUGACCCCUGCAGACCCCAAUGUGGGAAAUCUACUGCAAGUUAUGGUAGUGGGGGACUGCGUUCGCGCUCCUCUCCC